rnacentral:rRNA from 1 species
GACGUAGGGCGCGAGCGUUUGUCCGGAUUUAUUGGGCGUAAAGAGCUCGUAGGCGGUGUGUCGCGUCGGCCGUGAAAACUUGCAGCUUAACUGUGGGCGUGCGGUCGAUACGGGCAUCACUGGAGUUCGGCAGGGGAGACUGGAAUUCCUGGUGUGAGCGGUGAAAUGCGCAGAUAUCAGGAGGAACACCGGUGGCGAAGGCGGGUCUCUGGGCCGAUACUGACGCUGGAGGAGCGGAAAGCGUGGGGAGCGAACAGG